rnacentral:rRNA from 1 species
UACGUAGGGUGCAAGCGUUGUUCGGAAUUACUGGGCGUAAAGCGCGCGUAGGCGGACCUGCAAGUCGGGGGUGAAAGCCCGAGGCUCAACCUCGGAACUGCCUUCGAUACUGCGGGUCUCGAGUCCGGGAGAGGUGAGUGGAAUUCCUAGUGUAGAGGUGAAAUUCGUAGAUAUUAGGAAGAACACCAGUGGCGAAGGCGGCUCACUGGCCCGGUACUGACGCUGAGGCGCGAAAGCGUGGGGAGCAAACAGG